GGGGCAAGGCAAUAACAGCACCACAACCUCACUACAGUGCACAAAAUCUGCAUAUACCACAUUAUGAUUUUUGUCAGCAUGCGGCCAAUGCAAUGGAAGAGAGACAUACCAUUGAAGCCUGGAUUGCUGCGAUUCAGCAUAUCAAUGUCGGUCUUGUCCAGACUCGUGAGAAGCAGUCUUCGUUCCUGAGGCACACAAACAGAGUGAAAGUGGUCCUGGCCUAAGCGCCACAUCUCACCGUGGUCCUAUCUGGUUUGCAGUCUCGUGUCCAGAGAAGUAUCCCUGUGUCUUUCCUGCAACUAGCUACAAACAGAUACAGACAAGAGGAAUGACUGGCCUGUCUUCAGGGUCCUCGGAGACUACCCAUUGCUGCAAAAUCCACCCCCAUGCGCAAGGAAUGCAGAAAAGGCCCACUACUGUCAGGGUUGGAGGUAGUACUGGUUGUGGCCACCAGGGGGGCUUAUUACUUUCACCUGGUGGUCAUUAGUGCGUACUUGACGUCUACCUCCUGAAGGUAUUUAAAGCCCUCAUUUCCCCUCAGUCUUCG